CCUCUCUCCCGAUGGCACCUGGAGAGUUUCCAGUACUCUACCAGUCUCAGCUAAGGGAGGGACAGUCAAGCAGAGGUAUACCCAUUCCAUUCCUAGCUUGGGUAGUGGCUGGUGAGUAGAAGGCCAUCUGCUACAAGU
rfam:Ornithorhynchus anatinus chromosome 7, whole genome shotgun sequence.